rnacentral:pre_miRNA from 1 species
AAAAAGACAAACCUUGGUUUCCGUAUCCAACGUUUGAUCGUUCGUCUUAUUUGAAAAAAUUAUGAAAAAAAUUAAAAAGACAAGUCACGCAUAAAAUAUUAAUCAUGUUUUAUCAUCUAACAACAAUGAAAAUACGAAUUAUAAAAAAAUUUCAUAUAAGACGGACAGUCAAAGUUGGACACGGAAACUCAGGGUUUGUUUUUUU